rnacentral:rRNA from 1 species
AAGUAUCAAUUUAAAAUUUGAUGAAUAGGGAGUUUUGAUUUAAUUGAAAUAACAUUAAUUAAUGUAUGUUUUAGUAUAGUAAUAGAACAAAUUUAUUUAUUUGUAGUGGAGUAGUACUGUGAAGGGAAAUUGAAAAAGUUGAAAAUAAAUUUUUAGAAAAGUAAAUUAAUAUUGUACCUUGUGUAUCAGGGUUUAUUAAAAUUGGAAUAGAGAUUUAUUUUUCCCGAAUUAAAAAGAGCUAAUUUGUUAUGUUGGUUAGUGUGGUACUAUUAUCAAGAAUAGCAAGUUUGUAAUGAAAUAUUAGUCGGUUUUUAAGAUAUCUGGUUCUUCAAGAAAUGAAUUUAAUUCAGUAUUUAAUAGUA